GACGAACGCUGGCGGCGUGCUUAACACAUGCAAGUCGAACGGAAAGGCCCUGCUUGCCGGGUACUCGAGUGGCGAACGGGUGGGUAACACGUGGGUGAUCUGCCCUGCACUUCGGGAUAAGCCUGGGAAACUGGGUCUAAUACCGGAUAGGAGCCAUUUUUAGUGUGAUGGUUGGAAAGUUUUUUCGGUGUAGGAUGAGCUCGCGGCCUAUCAGCUUGUUGGUGGGGUAAUGGCCUACCAAGGCGGCGACAGGUAGCCGGCCUGAGAGGGUGGACGGCCACAUUGGGACUGAGAUACGGCCCAGACUCCUACGGGAGGCAGCAGUGGGGAAUAUUGCACAAUGGGCGCAAGCCUGAUGCAGCGACGCCGCGUGGGGGAUGACGGCCUUCGGGUUGUAAACGCCUUUCGCUAGGGACGAAGCUUUUUGUGACGGUACCUAGAUAAGAAGCACCGGCUAACUACGUG
rnacentral:rRNA from 1 species